rnacentral:tRNA from 1 species
GCGGAAGUGGCGAAAUGGCAGACGCACCAGACUUAGGAUCUGGCGCCGCAAGGCGUGGAGGUUCAAGUCCUCUCUUCCGCA